rnacentral:snRNA from 1 species
AGCUUUGUCCAGUGGCAGUAUUGUAGGCAGUGAGGUUUAUUCAAAGCGUGAUUAUUACUAAUUGAAACCUUAUUUCAGUAAG